CAGCCGCCGCGGUAAUACGGAGGGUGCAAGCGUUAUCCGGAUUCACUGGGUUUAAAGGGUGCGUAGGCGGGCAGGUAAGUCAGUGGUGAAAUCUUCGAGCUUAACUCGGAAACUGCCGUUGAUACUAUCUGUCUUGAAUAACGUUGAGGUGAGCGGAAUAUGUCAUGUAGCGGUGAAAUGCUUAGAUAUGACAUAGAACACCGAUUGCGAAGGCAGCUCACUAAACGCUCAUUGACGCUGAGGCACGAAAGCGUGGGGAUCAAACAGGAUUAGAAACCCCAGUAGUCCCUGUCUCUUAUAA
rnacentral:rRNA from 1 species